UUUAAAGGUUUUCCCUAGAUCUAUAGCCUAAAGGAAUUUCUUAAAUUUCUUAAAAUAUUUUCUUAAGAUUUUCUAGGGAAUUUAGGUUAUUUUCUUAAUAUUUUACAGAGUUUUUAGGUUCCUAAUUUCUAAGGCAAUUUCUUUUAUUUUUUUUAAGUUGAUUUUCUAACGAGAAGUUAGGGUUUUAUAUACAAAUUUGUUUAGGGAAUAUCUCGGGGAAUAUUGCUUUUGAGAUUGGAAUAUUAGGCUUAUCUCUAGGUUUUGAUGGGGAUUGACUUGUCAAAAUCUUAGAACAAACUUGAGUCAAACCCCAAUGUAGAAUCCUCCAAGAAACAUUCAUCAUCUUCCAAAAACUUCCAAAAUUUUUCAAACUGUUUGUGUGGGCUCCGAAGGGUCUAACGACAACCAAUUGAGCCCAUCGACGCACCCCGCAUCGUUGACCCAGGCCCUCCCCUAACUUGCAGCGUGAAAUGUGGUGGGUCUAGGAGCAACGGUCUGGUCGGGUAUAGUUACGAUGCAUUUUGGGGUCUCAUAAUUGGCAAUUUUCUAACAU
rnacentral:lncRNA from 1 species